AAGAAUACGCAUAUUAAUUAACCCCCUCCCCCAUCUCUCUUUCUCUUUCUCUCUCAUAUUUUUCCCCAAAACGAAACCCUAUCCUCUCAAUGUGUUUUUCAAUCUGAAAGCAUAUGAAGUCUUUAACAAUCAACUCUUUCAAAUUAUCUCUCAAAGGCUGAAGACUCACGUGAUGUCUAUUUGAACUGGGUGAAGACUCACAAACUAACAAUAACAAUGGUUAUCAAUUUGAACAGUCAUUUGUUGGAACUUGUGGAAGAUGAUGAGACGUAGUGGUUGAUAUCGACAAGAGAAACCUUCUUUAAGAUUGCAACAUCAGAUUACACAUGAGGGUUUGAAGAGUUAACUUACAAGUUAAGAUGCAAGUUUUGAAGACUUCAUACAAUAUUGUUUAUCACUUGCAAGGGUAGUUAGGAAAAAAGUUAUUUUUGCUAAAAGAUUGUGUAAACAGCACGGUGACAUAUGAAUCAUGGUUAUACAAUUAACAAUCGGAUGUAAUACACAUUUUUAUAAUUCAUAACCAAUUUAUACAUGUACAUUUGUAUA